AUGUACCACGCGUACACUCCGGUUCCUGCGCGCCGUCCGCACCCAGCUGACGACUACUGGCUACGUUUUGUUAGCC
rnacentral:sRNA from 1 species